AAUGAUUGGGUAUCGAUGAUCGAUGUGUGGGAAACUGAAGAAUGGAAGACAAAAUCUUAUAAAGCGAAGGAGAGUCGAUCAAAGUUGCCCUACAAUCAUAUAUCUGGUUCCCGAUCAUUUGCAGCAGCGAUGUCACUAAUU